rnacentral:rRNA from 1 species
UUCCGGUUGAUCCUGCCGGAGGCUACCGCUAUUGGAGUUCGAUUAAGCCAUGCGAGUCUAGAGGCCUAGCCUCGGCGUACCGCGCAGUAACACGUGGGUAACCUACCCUAUGCUGGGGGAUAAGCUCGGGAAACUGAGAAUAAUACCCCAUAGUCCACUACGCCUGGAACGGUGAGUGGAUCAAAGCUCCGGCGGCAUAGGAUGGGCCUGCGGCGUAUCAGGUUGUAGGGGGUGUAAUGUACCCUCUAGCCAUCUACGCGUACGGGUGUUGGGAGACAUUGCCCGGAGAUGGAUUCUGAGACACGAAUCCAGACCCUACGGGGUGCAGCAGGCGCGAAAACUUGGCAAUGCGAGAAAUCGUGACCAGGGAACUCCAAGUGGCAGGGGUAAGACCCUGUCUUUUUCCGACUCUAAAUAGGUCUUGGAAUAAGGGGUGGGUAAGGACGGUGCCAGCCGCCGCGGUAAUACCGGCGCCUCAAGUGGUAGUCGCUUUUAUUGGGCCUAAAACGUCCGUAGCCGGUCUGAUACAUUCGUGGGUAAAUCAACCAGCUCAACUGGUUGAAUUCUGCGAGGACGGUCAGACUUGGGACCGGGAGAGGUGUGGGGUACGCUCAGGGUAGGGGUAAAAUCCUGUCAUCCUGAGCGGACCACCUGUUGCGAAGGCGCCACACUAGAACGGAUCCGACGGUCAGGGACGAAGCCUAGGGGCACGAACCGGAUUAGAUACCCGGGUAGUCCUAGGUGUAAACGCUGUGGACUUGAUGUUGGGGGUGCUCCGAGCACUCUCAGUGUCGAAGCGAAGGUGAUAAGUCCACUGCCUGGGAAGUACGGUCGCAAGGCUGAAACUUAAAGGAAUUGGCGGGGGAGCACCGCAACCUGAGGAUUGUGCGGUUUAAUUGGAUCAACGCCGGA